UACUAUUCCUCCUGGUAAUAUGUAGGUGUCCUGAUUGCUCCAUAUCCUUGCCAACACUUGGAAUCAUCCGUCUUUUGAACUUGUGGCCAUUCUGAUGCUGGUUUUCAAAUUCAUCAGUGCACACAUGCGACUGCCACCGAGGCAUGAAAGCAGCGAAGAUAAUACCCAAACGAACAGAUCAUUCUUUUCACAGCCAGACACUAAGGGGCACUAAGAACAUGGAACACUAGCCCAGCCCUUGAGAAGCUGGCAAUGAGUAGGAGUCACUAAAAGCACAGAACAAAGCACAUGUGCUUUGGAGCCAUCAGACCUGAUUGCCCAAACUGGCUCCACGACUUCCCAGGUCCUUGGCUUGGGGCCAUGCCCUUAA